rnacentral:misc_RNA from 1 species
UCCGGCUUAUCACCGGCAGUUUUCUCAGAGUGCUCAGCCUAACCUGUUAGCAACAGAGAAUGAGGGUUGCGCUCGUUGCGGGACUUAACCCAACAUCUCACGACACGAGCUGACGACAGCCAUGCAGCACCUGUGCAUCUCCCACCCGAAGUGAAGGAUUGCUUUUCGGCAAUUCAUAGAGAGCAUGUCAAACCCUGGUAAGGUUCUUCGCGUUGCCUCGAAUUAAACCACAUGUUCCACCGCUUGUGCGGGUCCCCGUCAAUUUCUUUGAGUUUUAAUCUUGCGACCGUACUCCCCGGGCGGGGUGCUUAAUGCGUUAGCUACGGCGCAGGAAACCGGAGAGGCCCCCCACACCUAGCGCCCAACGUUUACAGCGUGGACUAC